rnacentral:tRNA from 1 species
AAGGUUUUAGGUUAAAAAACUACAAGCCUUCAAAGCUUGAUAUAAGAAAGACUUCUUAAACCUUG